UACGUAGGGGGCUAGCGUUGUCCGGAUUUAUUGGGCGUAAAGAGCGUGUAGGCGGCCAGGUAGGUCUGCUGUGAAAACUCGAGGCUCAACCUCGAGACGUCGGCGGAAACCAUCUGGCUAGAGUCCGGAAGAGGAGAGUGGAAUUCCUGGUGUAGCGGUGAAAUGCGCAGAUAUCAGGAAGAACACCCGUGGCGAAGGCGGCUCUCUGGACCGAUAUUGACGCUGAGACGCGAAAGCGUGGGUAGCAAACAGG
rnacentral:rRNA from 1 species